rnacentral:rRNA from 1 species
UACCAGCACCCCGAGUGGUCGGGACGUUUAUUGGGCCUAAAGCAUCCGUAGCCGGUUCUGCAAGUCUUCCGUUAAAUCCACCUGCUUAACAGAUGGGCCGCGGAAGAUACUAUAGAGCUAGGAGGCGGGAGAGGCAAGCGAUACUCGAUGGGUAGGGGUAAAAUCCGUUGAUCCAUUGAAGACCACCAGUGGCGAAGGCGGCUUGCCAGAACGCGCUCGACGGUGAGGGAUGAAAGCUGGGGGAGCAAACCGG